CCUACGGGGGGCAGCAGUAGGGAAUAUUGCUCAAUGGGCGAGACCCUGAAGCAGCAACGCCGCGUGAGGGAUGAAGGUUUUCUGAUUGUAAACUCCUUUUGUUAGAGAAGCUAAUGACGGUAUCUAACGCAUAAGCACCGGCUCACUCCGUGACAGCAGCGGCGGUCAUGCGGAGGGUGCCAGCGUUACUCGGAAGUAAUGGGCGUAAAGAGCGCGUAGGCGGGAUAGUAAGUAAGAUGGGAAAUCCGAUGGUUUAACCAUAGAACAGCAUUUGAAACUGUUAGUCUAGAGUAUGGGAGAGGUAUGUGGAAUGCGUGGUGUAGCGGUAAAAUGCGUAGAGAUCGAGAAGAAUUCUGAUUGCGAAGGCGGCCUGCUGGAACAUCACUGACGCUGAUGCGCGAAAGCGUGGGGAGCGAACAGGAUUAGAUACCCGAGUAGUC
rnacentral:rRNA from 1 species